UUUUUUUUAAUUAUUGUACAAGAAAACAAAAUAGUUCCUGAUUUCUGAAAAAAAGAAUAAGUCAUAAAUAGGAAAAUUGUCGCUUAUAGAGGUAAAUACAAAAGAGGCUCUCAGUCUCAGCGGGAAAAACGACUGUCACUUAUGGAGGUUUUUGUUUCUCACUCAUAGAGGUUUUUGAGAGGUAAAAGUUCGGGACCUGAAACGCUUACCCAGUUCUCUCUUCCUCAGGUUUGACUGAACUUUUUGAAUAACUUUCAUGUUUUGGAUCUGAUAGCGAUAAAAUUUUCGAUUGUCAUGCAAACCAGGUAUGUACUAUAUGUAUCCUGUGUGUGAAAUUUCGAGACUCUAGCUCAAUAAUUACGCUUGAUAUUCGUUUUUUUUUUUAAUUUUCGGAGGGGCGGAAAGAAGGUAUGGCAAUAUCAUACCAUAAAUUUGAUCCUUGAGUUGUGUUCUAAAAGUAGCGGCAACGAAAUUAGCAAAAAACUGCAUAAGAAUCCUGCAGUCCACAAACAUCUCAUCUCUAUCUUGAAACCAGCAACAAUAAUACGUGUUAAAAUCAUUGAGCGCAACAAAAGUUAUUUUCGGCAGAAAUUUAUAUUUGAGAAAACUAUGAAACAACCGAGCCAGUUAGGAUAUGGCUACAUUUUAGAUAAAUAUCUGAUCCUGUCAACUGCAGACAAGCAAAAUAUUUGUAAACUGCAUUUACCCUUUAAGUUUAACAAUCUUAAAUAUUUUCAUUUGUCUUUUGAACAUUUUGUAGCUUGUAAUUGUUGAAUAUCGCUUAGUAUAACGGUUUAUAUAUAUCUUUUGUUAUUUAUUACAUUUUUUAAUUUAAUCUUUAGUUAAGUGUAUGCUCCUCACUAUAUAUGUAGCUAAAUAUGUUUAGGUAUAUGUAAAUGCAUACUUUAAAUACAAUUAUUAUUGUUUACUUACUGCGAAAGAAGAGAACUGCAAUUGCUUUAAUAAGAAUUAUGCUCAACAACCUCAUUGUUCAGAAUUAAAAUAACAACUGAAGGUGUGCGAGAAGAGUAUAUGGAUCUGGAAGCGGAAUACGAGUAUAUAAAUCUUAAUGAGCGUACUUUGAUUGUAUUCAAGUUUAGUCAUAUACAUAUAUAUGUUUUUUGUUCACAUGUAUAUUAUAAUUUACAGUGUUCAUAUGCAAGGUCGCAUUUAAGCGGGAUGAUAUAGACCAUUGUAAAAUACAAGUAUAUAAAAUGACAUAGACCUCAAAUAAAAAUAGGAUGUAAGAUGGAAAAAUAAGUAUUUCUUUUCAUUUACCUUUUGGUAGUUACCGCCGGCAAGUAGUCUUAGAGUAUGUACUUGUCUUGGUGGGUAGUUGGCUCCAAUACCGCUCAAAACAAAAAAUAUUUAUAAGAAAAGGACUCUCGCGGCACUAAAAAAUCGUAAUUAAAACCAUCAGCCCUUCGGUGACUUAAAAUAUCGGUCAUCAUCGACACGUUUAUUACAAAUAGUAGCUCUCUUUAGAAAAAGACUUAAGCUAUUAAAAAGAUAGUAUGGAUACGCCACCACACAGAGCUCGGAUUCAAUCCCAGUUUGCUUUCCUGCAUUUAAAAAGCCCUCUGGCGAUUUGAAGAUUUUGCUGCGGCUUUGGCACAAAUGCGAUGUGCAUGGAGUGCGAACUGGGCAAAAUAACAUGAAGUAUACCAAAAGUCAUAUCAUGAACUCGUCUGAAUAUAAUGUAAAUGAUAGUUAAUGUUUUCCGUUGGAUGCAAACAGUUAGCCGGUUACGUUUUCAGAUGAAUUAUAAAUGUUGUUGCUGUAAGAAAUGUACCUGUAAAGGAUAUUAUAUUUUCGGUGCAGGCGAGGAAAACAAUUUUUUGUUUAGUUUUUGUCAAAUAGCAAAUAAAUAUCCCUUACAUAAAAGUAAAAAA